CAGUCGCCGCGGUAAUACGUAGGGUGCAAGCGUUAAUCGGAAUUAUUGGGCGUAAAGGGCUCGCAGGCGGUUUCUUAAGUCUGAUGUGAAAGCCCCCGGCUCAACCGGGGAGGGUCAUUGGAAGCUGGGAAACUUGAGUGCAGAAGAGGAGAGUGGAAUUCCACGUGUAGCGGUGAAAUGCGUAGAGAUGUGGAGGAACACCAGUGGCGAAGGCGACUCUCUGGUCUGUAACUGACGCUGAGGAGCGAAAGCGUGGGGAGCGAACAGGAUUAGAUACCCGCGUAGUCCCUGUCUCUUAUAC
rnacentral:rRNA from 1 species